AAAUCAAGUAUAUAUUUUGAGGUUGGAUAGUAAGGAAAGCCGAGACGCUCCAUCAACCACACCGGGAGAUUUGACAGAACCAGUCAGUAAAGUACAAGCAAAGAAUAUAAAACAUCGUGAGUUGAACAGUCGAAUUAUUUAUCGAUCUAUGCGAGUUUAGCCGAGUGAAGAUGGCGCCAAAAAUCCAAAAGUAAAUUUAAGAGACCCUCAAGUAUAGUAUAUUGACCCAUCAAUGUAAUUCAAGUGUCAAUGAUUAAAGCAAGGCAGUAAGAGUUGGUAAGAACGAUUUUGGAUCUUUUCAUAUCUCGUUUUUGCUCCAUAAAUCAUGUUUCCUGAUUGUGCGUACAAAUUUUACCCUCCGAUGUAACUGUUAUGAAUGUGAACGAUUUACAAUCUUGGAAUAUGAUUUACAGAAUGACCAGAACAAAUACUUGCCUACAAUCGACAAUAGUAAAAAUAUUUUUAUUCGGGCGUUCAGGUUUGAAUAAACUACCAAAGAUACACCCCAUUUUUAAGAUUAAACUCAGACCCAGGCUGUUCAUUAUCAACGAGACAUAAUAUCAUCGCAAUUUAAGUAUGAAGGUGGACAGAAAUAAUAGUCCG
rnacentral:lncRNA from 1 species